CUGGAAACAGGUGCUAAUACCGCAUAACAACUACUUUCUCAUGAUCGUAGCUUGAAAGAUGGCUCUGCUAUCGCUUUUGGAUGGACCCGCGGCGUAUUAGCUAGUUGGUGAGGUAAUAGCUCACCAAGGCAAUGAUACGUAGCCGACCUGAGAGGGUAAUCGGCCACAUUGGGACUGAGACACGGCCCAAACUCCUACGGGAGGCAGCAGUAGGGAAUCUUCCACAAUGGGCGAAAGCCUGAUGGAGCAAUGCCGCGUGAGUGAAGAAGGUUUUCGGAUCGUAAAACUCUGUUGUUGAAGAAGAACAUGCGUGAGAGUAACUGUUCACGUACUGACGGUAUUCAACCAGAAAGCCACGGCUAACUACGUGCCAGCAGCCGCGGUAAUACGUAGGUGGCAAGCGUUGUCCGGAUUUAUUGGGCGUAAAGAGAAUGUAGGCGGUUUAUUAAGUUUGAAGUGAAAGCCCUCGGCUCAACCGAGGAAGUGCUUCGAAAACUGGUAAACUUGAGUGCAGAAGAGGAAAGUGGAACUCCAUGUGUAGCGGUGGAAUGCGUAGAUAUAUGGAAGAACACCAGUGGCGAAGGCGGCUUUCUGGUCUGUAACUGACGCUGAGAUUCGAAAGCAUGGGUAGCAAACAGGAUUAGAUACCCUGGUAGUCCAUGCCGUAAACGAUGAGUGCUAAGUGUUGGAGGGUUUCCGCCCUUCAGUGCUGCAGCUAACGCAUUAAGCACUCCGCCUGGGGAGUACGAUCGCAAGAUUGAAACUCAAAGGAAUUGACGGGGGCCCGCACAAGCGGUGGAGCAUGUGGUUUAAUUCGAAGCAACGCGAAGAACCUUACCAGGUCUUGACAUACCAUGAAAAGCUAAGAGAUUAGUCUUUCCCUUCGGGGACAUGGAUACAGGUGGUGCAUGGUUGUCGUCAGCUCGUGUCGUGAGAUGUUGGGUUAAGUCCCGCAACGAGCGCAACCCUUAUUAUCAGUUGCCAGCAUUCAGUUGGGCACUCUGGUGAGACUGCCGGUGACAAACCGGAGGAAGGUGGGGACGACGUCAAAUCAUCAUGCCCCUUAUGACCUGGGCUACACACGUGCUACAAUGGUCGGUACAACGUGCUGCGAACUCGCGAGGGUAAGCAAAUCACUUAAAACCGAUCUCAGUUCGGAUUGUAGGCUGCAACUCGCCUACAUGAAGCUGGAAUCGCUAGUAAUCGCGGAU
rnacentral:rRNA from 1 species